rnacentral:rRNA from 1 species
UUUCCUACGGGGGGCAGCAGUGAGGAAUAUUGGUCAAUGGUCGGGAGACUGAACCAGCCAAGCCGCGUGAGGGAGGAAGGUACAGAGUAUCGUAAACCUCUUUUGUCAAGGGACAAAAUCAGGCUCGAGAGCCUGACCGAGGGUACUUGAAGAAAAAGCAUCGGCUAACUCCGUGCCAGCAGCCGCGGUAAUACGGAGGAUGCGAGCGUUAUCCGGAUUUAUUGGGUUUAAAGGGUGCGUAGUCGGGCUGUUAAGUCAGCGGUAAAAGCCCGGGGCUCAACCCCGGCGAGCCGUUGAA